CACAGAGCAGGGUCUGGAGAGAAGAACCAUUGUGUCUGUGAAAGCCCACUCAAAAGACUGGGCUCUUCUCGCAAGGAAGAAGAGCAAGCAGGGUCCCGGGCCUGACCCCGCCUCGGGCCGCCCUCCAGGCCUGGAGCCAGUCCUGGGCCUUGUCGGGGGCGGCCUCGAGGCGCCGGUUGCUGGGGGAGCGGUGACGUCGCGGGGUGAAAGUUGAGGGGCGGUGACGUCGGGCCUGCCCGGGCGGAGGCUGGCGGGUUGGAGGCAGGAGGGAGGGAGGGAAGGAAGGAGGGAAGGAAGGAAGCUGGGAAGGAGCGAGCGAGCGGGGGCGCGAGGCGUUUACCUGGAGGCAGCGGCUUGGGCGCGCAGAGCGGCCGCGGCUCCCCCGCACCUGCGGCCAUGGAUGAGGAGCGCGCCCUCUACAUCGUGCGGGCCGGCGAAGCGGGGGCAAUCGAGCGGGUCCUGAGGGAUUACAGCGACAAGCAUAGGGCUACUUUCAAAUUUGAAACAACAGAUGAAGAUAAAAGAAAGAAACUCUGCGAAGGCAUAUUUAAAGUCCUUGUAAAGGACGUCCCAACAACAUGCCAAGUGUCCUGCCUGGAAGUACUCCGCAUUCUCUCCAGAGACAAAAAGAUUUUAGUUCCUGUAACAACUAAGGAAAAUAUGCAGAUCCUGCUGCGACUAGCCAAGCUAACUGAGUCUGAUGAGUCUUUGGAGAAGGUGUCAGAGUUCCCGGUUAUUGUGGAGUCAUUAAAAUGUCUGUGUAACAUAGUGUUCAACAGUCAGAUGGCACAGCAGCUCAGCCUGGAACUUAAUCUUGCUGCAAAGCUCUGUAACCUCCUGAGAAAGUGCAAGGACCGGAAAUUUAUCAGUGACAUUAAGUGCUUUGACUUGCGCUUGCUCUUCCUCCUGUCACUUUUACACACCGACAUCAGGUCACAAUUGCGCUAUGAGCUCCAGGGACUACCGCUGCUAACCCAGAUUUUGGAAAGUGCCUUUAGCAUCAAGUGGACCGAUGAGUAUGAAUCGGCCAUAGACCAUAAUGGACCUCCUCUCUCACCUCAAGAGACAGACUGUGCUAUUGAGGCCCUCAAAGCUCUCUUCAAUGUGACAGUAGACAGUUGGAAGGUGCAUAAAGAGAGUGAUUCUCAUCAGUUCCGUGUCAUGGCAGCUGUCCUUCGCCAUUGUUUACUAAUCGUAGGUCCAACUGAAGACAAAACAGAAGAGCUGCACAGUAAUGCAGUCAACCUUUUAAGCAAUGUUCCGGUCUCUUGUUUGGAUGUUCUCAUUUGCCCGUUAACCAAUGAAGAAACAACCCCAGAGGCAACAACUCUAGAUGAACUGCCCAGUGAUAAAACAGCUGAAAAAGAAACAGUUUUGAAAAACAAUACCUUGGUAUACAAUGGCAUGAAUAUGGAGGCCAUUCAUGUUUUACUCAAUUUUAUGGAGAAGAGAAUAGACAAGGGAAGCAGCUAUAGAGAGGGUCUGACACCAGUUCUCAGCUUAUUAACAGAAUGUUCUCGAGCCCAUCGAAACAUAAGGAAAUAUCUCAAAGAUCAGGUUUUACCACCGUUGAGGGAUGUGACAAAUCGACCUGAAGUUGGCUCAACUGUGAGAAAUAAGCUGGUGCGCCUCAUGACACAUGUUGACCUUGGAGUCAAGCAAAUUGCUGCUGAAUUCCUUUUUGUUCUUUGCAAAGAGAGAGUGGAUAGCCUCCUGAAGUACACUGGCUAUGGGAAUGCGGCAGGACUGUUGGCGGCCAGGGGCCUCUUGGCUGGAGGAAGAGGAGAUAAUUGGUACUCAGAGGAUGAGGACACAGACACUGAAGAAUACAAAAAUGCGAAACCAAACAUUAAUCUUAUCACUGGUCAUUUAGAGGAACCAAUGCCAAACCCCAUAGAUGACAUGACAGAAGAACAAAAAGAAUAUGAAGCCAUGAAACUUGUCAACAUGCUUGAUAAACUUUCCAGGAGAGCAGAUGUGAAGGACCUGCACCAGGAUGGUGGUUAGCAUCAGUGGCCCGUACCAAAGCACUUACCAAAGUGAUGACUAAGGUUGGUCAUGCCGAGUACUGUUACUGAGCCUGGUGUAGGGUACAGAUGUUAUUCACUACCAAAAUUGCAAAACCACCAAUGUAAAAAUUAAAAUAUUUGCAUUGGCCUCCAUGCUGGACAUAGCCACUGCCUCAGGGAGCUCACCACCUUAGCAGCUUUCUCUCAAGUAUUCCAAGGAUACUGAAGAGAUUAGUGCUCAAAUAUUUUCUUCCCAUUGAGUACCAAUUAAUUUUUUUUUUAUUUUUUUAAUAUAAGGAUAUUUGUGACAGAUAUAGAUAUGAGGAUUGGCAGUGCACUUUGAGGUUUGAAGAGUUUGGGAAGAAUCUGAACCCUAUAAAUCCCAUCAUGUCUCGCUAGUACAGUGCCUUGUACCCUGUGGUUUCACAGUGUAUGCUGAAUGAAAUAACAAAAACAGCUGAUCCCCAAAUUUAAGAGUCAGGCUUUAGCUCUAUAAAAUAACCUAUAAGUAUGUCAGUUCCAUUUUUUGCCCAGAUGUUAUAAAAUUCAGGGCUGAAAAGGAAUUCUAUAGGGUACUUUGGGCCCCAAUUAGCUAAUUUAAAUUUGGGUUAUAUAAUUCCUUUAAUAUAGAACAGUGGUUCUCAACCUUCCUAAUGCUGCAACUCAUUAAUACAGUUCCUCAUGUCGUGGUGACCCCCAACCAUAAAAUUAUUUUCGUUGCUACUUCAUAACUACAAUUUUGCUACUGUUAUGAAUCAUAAUGUAAAUAUCUGAUAUACAAGAUAGUCUUAGGCAACUCCUGUGAAAGGGUCAUUCGAAGGGGUCAUGACCCACAGGUUGAGAACCGCUGAUAUAGAAUGAUCACUAUAAUAUAUUUCAAACUAAAGCAUUGAAGCCUGAGUUACAAGAUUAUAGAAAGCUUCGUUUGCCAUUUUUAAUGUAAGAGCAGAGGUGGGAAGGGGGACGAAGUAUGUCUGCUUCUUAACCUCCUGUGUCUUUCUCUGACUUAGAAAAAAAUGAGCCCCUGCAACUUCAGCAGGAGAUAGAACGGGGAUUGUGUGUGGUUAACCAAGUCCACUGUGGCUAAUACAAUUGCAUUUGCCUUAGCUACCACACACAACUUGUACAUAGUAAUUUCGUACCUCCUCCAGAAAAGAGGAGAAAGUGUUGAUUGGCUUAAACUUUAACCAAGAGAAAUAAUAUUUCAAGUUACAGUUUUGUUUUGACUUCUCUAAUCCCCUUUAGUUUCUUCACUGGAACUAGAACUACUCAUCAAUCCACUACUACACCCUUACUCCCUCCCUACUUAAAACAGUCCACUGCUGCCUUUUUGCUUAUGUAUUCUACCAUCAAAAUCUAUGUUUUAACAUUUAUACUUACAUAAAUAAAAAUAAUUGUCCUACCAUUUAUUUCUUCCUUUUCUCAUCUAUUCCUUUAGCAAGUAAUUAUAAUUUUUUUUUUUUUUUUUUUUUUUUAGCCAGCCAUUGUGUACUAUAUGGGACAUGGCUUCCUUAAUAAAUACAGGCACCAAAUACAGGAAUAGUUCCCUUUAAUCCAAAGAUUAAUUUUAAACUUAACCAAGGUGAUUUAUUAUUGAAAGGUAACAAAUAUAUGUAAUAUUUUUAUAUAAAAAGGUUAUUUUAUAUCUCCUUAUAAAAAUAUCAACAACUGUGAUUAUACCUACCUUUGUGAUAAAUUAGUCAUGGAAAUGCUUUUCAGGUACAUUUCAGAAACAUGGCCCAUUUUUUAAAGCAUUGUAAGAUCUAUUGUAGGUAUAAAAGUAUAAAGAUCUUAAUUGUUUCCAUCAGGAAAUCCUUUAGCUCUGCACUGUUAACAUGCUAACCACUAGCUACAUAUGACUAUUGAGCAUUUGAAAUGUAAUUAGUCUGAAUUGGGAUGUCCUAUAAGUGAAAAAUACUCAUCAGGUUUUAAAGACUUAGUACAAAAAAAAUGUAAAAUAUCUCAUUAAUUGUUCAGUAUGAAUAACAUGUUGAAAUGAUACUAUUUUAUAUAUAUUGGGUUGAAUAAACCACAUUAUUAAAAUUAAUUUUACAUUUUUCAAUGUGGCUACAGUAAGAUUACAUAUGCAUAUGGCUUACCUUAUACAGUAUUUCUGUUAGACAAUACUGCUCUACAUCGCUAAAAUACGUGGUAAGAUUGCUUGGAAAUUCAAUUAAGAGGGCUUGGAUCUAGUUUAAUAUACCAUAAAAAUGGCAAAGUAAAACUACUUUGAAAAGAUUGAUAUCGUGUAUCUUUAGGUGACCGCAGACCCUUGUAAUGGCUGGACACGUCUGAGUAGGGUGUCACGCUACCUUCGUGUUGCCCAUUGGUAGUUACCGUCCUUUACACUGGUAAUGGGAAUGACUACUUUGAGCUUUCAGUUAAAGCACUAGCUGAAAUACUUUUGGCUACUAAAGAAACAUCAAAUAAGAAAAAUCUCCACUAGCUGUUUGCUCUCUUUGUUACCCUCUUUCUUUAACUUUUAAGUCUUCCUCAUUAGGAAGAACAUUAAGAACUUCUAUUUCUACUUUAUUCAACAGUGUCAUGUGGUCUGCUGACUUUUUAAUAUUCAUUUUGUUAAUGUGGACAAAAGAUAGAAAAGUUCUGUAAAUAAAUUAAAGAAAUAAUAAAGGACAUUGUCACUCGGAGAUAAAAGUGAAUUUUAUUCUUCCAGCAUUAUCCCUAACCUCUUUUCUCCAUUAUUUUCUUAACUGUGCUGUUGAAUGUGAACUAGAUAGCAAACUUUUAGAAGCUUUGCAUGCAGUCUUCUAACAGAAAUGAGAAAAGUAAUAAAGGACUAAUAUAAAUAGAAUGCUUUAAGGUUUAAAAAGGGUUUUCAUAUACAUUAUCUUCAUCAGUCCUUAAAAUAGCUUUAUGAACAGAGCAAGAGGUAUUAAGAAAUAAAUGUACUCAAGAUUAAGUGGCUAACCCAAGAUAAAGUGUCUAGUUACUGACAGCCGCCAGGACCCAAUUCUCAGUCUUUAGAUGCCAUACUGUAUGCUGUUGUCAUUCUGAUUAUUUUUAAAUAAGGCAUCUAAAUUUUAAAUAAAAAGCACAAAAGACAGGAAGCAUAAUUCAUCUUAGACGAUUACCAAGAUUUGGAGGACAUGCAUCUCUGCUUUUUCAUUCCAUAGUUGAGCUGUUCUAAAAUGUUACAUCAAGCACUAAAUGAAUAGUUGAUGUUAAAAAAAUAAAAAGCUUUAUAUGAGGGGAACCAGUAAAAUUUCUAUGAUUCUAUAUUAACACAGGCUUUUUUGUUGUUUUUAGAGGAGACUGAAUAUGGAUAUUCUAAUAAAUUCUUACACAUGUGAUCACAUUUAAUAAAAUCUAACUUUAAAAAGGGCUUCCCUAUGGGACUGUUUAGACAAUCCCCAAUUACUUUUACCAGGUAGAAGGACAUAGUGGCAUGGACAACACACCAUGUUUGUUUAUCUUGGGAAUGAUAUUUUUAUGUUACAUAUUUCACUUUCCCAAUUGUACCCAAUCCCAAAGCACAAUGGUGAAGGCUUAAGGGAGGGAUCUAAGAAUUGUUUUUGAAAGAUGCAGCCUGAAGACCUCAAAUUUGCUGUGGAUAAACUGCUAUACCCCUCCUUGCUACUGGGUUAGUGGCUGAAUGAAAGAUCAGUAACAACUAGUCAGCACUAGGAAGCCACUGAAUGAAAGGUGAAGGGAAGAUCAGCUCCAACCUAGAGGACAUUUUCAUAGCAUCUGACUGAACAAGUCAACCUGUUCCAAAGGUUAUAUUAUUUUUCUGGGGGGAAAAAAAAGGUUAAAAGUAUUUAUAAAAAUAUCACACAUUAUUGGGAAAUCCAUUGCACUUCAGUGGAUUAUGAGCUAUUCUGGUGAUACAAAACCUUGAUAUAAGAUGCACUCCCAGACCUGAAUUAUGGCAGAGACUACAGAGCUUCCUUCUGAGGGCUGUUACAGGCUCCAUGCUAACAGGCAUUUUUUGAAAAGCUCUAUGUUAAUUAAAAUGCUUUAUUUAAGUACUAAUGUCUCAUCCCAUCUUUCAAAUGUAAAAAGGAAUUAAAUAUGAAAUGGGUUCUUUUUUCCAAGCCAACCUUACAUUAAGAGCAGGAAUCCCAGUACCAAAGAAAUGGUUCCCAAUUAUCCUGUCUUGCGUUUUGUUACACAUUGUACAAAAGUCAACAAAACAAGUAUGUAACAGAACCUGCCUAAAUAGCAGCCACCCUCAUUAAAAAAAGAGAAUUAAUCAGGGGGUGAUUGAAGAAAGCAAUGCCUCAUAGGUUUACCCCCCUUUUCUUCUUUUCUAAUCAUAGAACAAAAUAUGUUACAUAAAAGAAUCGGAACUAUUAUGCAGUACUCAAUUAGAGGGAGGUGAAUAGGUCUCUAACAUGCUGUUUUAUCAAAAGAGCAGACUGGUGUUUGCAUGACUGUUGUUUCAUUACAGACCCCGUCAUUAAUUCCAUGUGUCAAUACUGCCCUGUAGUACACAGAGCAGACAAGAAAGAAGAGCCCUUGAAAAUAAGGGAAUGAUUUUUGAGUCGUUAUCAAGCUAAGUGGCAAGCGGGAAGCUGAAACUCGUAUAGUUGAACAUUCUUGGAGGCUUAUCUCUUCCAUGGCCAGAUGCCUGAUCAGAUGAGAAGCCCGCCAUGAUACUGUCACAGUGCCUAGAAUGGGCUCUUUAUCCAGUAGACAUCACUGUACUUUUUGAUACGAGGGCAGUCUUAACUUGUGUUAAGGCCUGUGUAUAGCA